UUUUGGAUGCUGGCACCACACUGAAGUCACAUGAAGGAAGUGGGUGGGGUAUUUCUGGAGCAGAUUAAUGAAGGAAGAAGGAAGAAGUUGAUCACAUCCAUCAGUCUCCAAAACGGAGCCUUCGCCCCGCUCUCUGACAUCUGAGAGAAGCAACAAAAGAAGAUUCCAGAGGUCAUCAAAAAGAUAAUAGGACUAAUCAUGGAAGAGAUUAGAGACGGGAGUGAUUUUAUUGUAAAAGAGGAGGAUGAAGAGUUUGGCGUGAAGGAGGAGUUUUCAGAAGGACGCAAGGAUCUCUACAAGGA